UGGGCAGAAAUGAAAAGGGACAUGUGUCCAGUGAGAAUAGAGUGCAGGCCUCAAGAGAGGCAUCUGUGGUCUGGAGUAGGGGUUUUGUGUGGACUUGGGGGUCCUCAAGAUGGGUAUCCAGGCUGUGCAUCCUUAAUGUCUGUCUGGUUGUCCACCUGGAAGCUGCUAGAAUGCAAACCACUCAUCUUUGUGCAAAGCUGAGAUCUGCCGCUCCCUUUCUGCAGGAGGAAGUGUAAUUUUCAGGGGAAGCAUGAGCCCAGGCCUACUGUGUCUUGAAGACAUGGAGGACAUUUUUUUGAGGAAACGCCAGUGGAAAUAAGCCUCAUAGAUGUAAAAAAUGUCAAAUAACUAACCAACCAAAGACGGCCAAAUACUCUGCUUCUGCUUCUGCACCUCCUGGUUGCGACCCCAUAAAACUGCCGGCCGGCCGAUAUUCUGGGCCUGACUUCUUUGGGAUCCAUCCCAGACCUGAAGAUCUUGAUAGUGACUGUCUUCAAGAUAACACAAACCUACAAAGCC
ensembl:lncRNA